GACGAACGCUGGCGGCGUGCUUAACACAUGCAAGUCGAACGGUGAAGCGCCUUCCUUUUUGGUGGGUGUGGAUGAGUGGCGAACGGGUGAGUAACACGUGAGUAACCUGCCCCCUUCUUCUGGAUAACCGCAUGAAAGUGUGGCUAAUACGGGAUAUUCUGGGUCUGUCGCAUGAUGGGUCUGGGAAAGAUAUUGUUUCGGUGGGGGAUGGGCUCGCGGCCUAUCAGCUUGUUGGUGGGGUGAUGGCCUACCAAGGCGGUGACGGGUAGCCGGCCUGAGAGGGUGGACGGUCACACUGGGACUGAGACGCGGCGCAGACUCCUACGGGAGGCAGCAGGGGGGAAUAUUGCACAAUGGGCGCAAGCCUGAUGCAGCGACGCCGCGUGAGGGAUGGAGGCCUGCGGGUUGUGAACCUCUUUCGCCAGUGAAGCAGGCCUGCCUCGUUUGUGGGUGGGUUGACGGUAGCUGGAGAAGAAGCGCCGGCUAACUACGUG
rnacentral:rRNA from 1 species